GAAGCUGACACUUGAAAAUAUGGUCUUUGUUUCUAAAAAGGAUGAUAUAUGCCCCAAGAAGGAGAAGGUUGAAAUAACUAUCAAGUAUCCACCCUAACAUUGGUGGGUAGAUCGUCAAGCUCAGGACGUUAAACACGCGCUUGAUGGGAGGCAACCCAUCCGGUAUGUUUUAUUUCAGUCUUUAUUUUUAGUCAAAAAAAAAAUAACAAAAAACAAACAAAAAAGAGAGACUAUCAAUGAUGUCAUUUGCUAACAAUCCCUUGUGUUUCAUCUUUAUGUUGUCUUGUUUAUUAUCAAGUUUAAUGUUUUUAUGUCUUUUCAGAAUUGUUAGUGUGUUAAUACCUGAAUUUGCAUGAUGAAAAUCUCUUAGACUUGCACAUAAAAGAAUAACAGACGUGUGACUGCUCAUGAAAGUGCGAUGGUUAAAGAGACAAAGAGAUGAAUUGGAAAGAUGGAGUUUUGCACGGUGUACAAGUUUAACUUUCAGAUACCUCAGCUGGUGAGCAUAUUGAGCCAAAUAAAUUUCAUGGUAUACCCUUUUCUUUCACAUCUUAUGAGUGUAUCCAUGCUUUGUAUAUUUUCUAGAACUUG
rnacentral:lncRNA from 1 species